rnacentral:rRNA from 1 species
CGCCGCGUGAGGGAUGAAGGGCUUCGGGUUGUAAACCUCUUUCGAGUGGGACGAAA